rnacentral:rRNA from 1 species
UACGUAUGGGGCAAGCGUUGUUCGGAGUUAUUGGGCGUAAAGGGCGUGUAGGCGGCUCAGUAAGUCUGGUGUGAAAUCGCAGGGCUCAACCCUGCGUAUGCGCUGGAAACUGUUGGGCUUGAGUUCCUGAGGGGAAGCUAGAAUUCCAGGUGUAGGGGUGAAAUCUGUAGAUAUCUGGAAGAAUACCGGUGGCGAAGGCGAGCUUCUAUCAGAGGACUGACGCUGAGGCGCGAAAGCGUGGGGAG